rnacentral:rRNA from 1 species
CAAAAACAUUUUUUAAUGAUUUUAUAUUAAAUAUGGCCUGCUCCUUGUUUAAUUAAAAGCCGCAGAAAAUUUACUGUGCUAAGGUAGCAUAAUCACUUGCCUCCUAAUUAGAGGCUCGAAUGAAAGGUAUAACAAUUAAUUAUAUAUAUUGAUUAUUUAAAUUUAAUUUACCUUAAAAAUUAAAAUAUUUUUAUAUAUUUAAUAGACGACAAGACCCUAUUGAACUUAACUGCAGUUAAGCUGGGGAAGCUUAAUAAAUAUUAUCUUAUUAAAUUUAUAUAAAUUAAUACCCUAACCAAAGCAUUUUAAUCAAGUUACCAAAGGGAUAACAGCGUUAUAGCUUUUAUAAGCUCAUAUUAAUAAAUGAUUAUACGACCUCGAUGUUGAAUUAAUUUUACCUUUUUAUGCAAGAAUAAAAAAAGUAAGUCUGUUCGACUUUUAAAAAAUUACAUGAUCUGAGUUCAAACCGG